rnacentral:sRNA from 1 species
GCCAGGCGCGGUGGCUCACGCCUGUAAUCCCAGUACUUUGGGAGGCUGAGGUGGGUGGAUCACCUGAGGUCAGGAGUUCGAGGCCAGCCUGGCCAACAUGGUGAAACCCCAUCUCUA